GGUCAGCAUCAGUUUUCCCCGGGGGAUAAAGGCGGCGGGAAUGUGGCUCUCUUCGGGGAGUGUUAUAGCCCACCGUGUAAUACCCUGGGGGGGACUGAGGUUCGCGCAUCUGCAAGGAUGCUGGCGUAAUGGUCAUCAACGACCCGUCU
rnacentral:rRNA from 1 species